ACCCAGAAAAGAACCGAGGUUAUGGAAUGUUUAGCCUUGGUUUGAGUUGGCUUACCCGGGCCACAUCGUUUACCAGAUGUAAUGUAUUUUUUUAUCAGGCCACGAAACUAAAUCUUCCGCUAUUUCGAUGCCUAACACUGCCUCUCUCGUUCAAAGGGCAAUGGCUUACCCCUCGCCUGGAUUGAUUUGAACGAUAUCAACUUGAGGAUUAGGUGAAACUUUGAAUUCAUCCCUCAGUAAGAGUUGGAGUGCAUCGUGGGUAUCCUAAUGGCGCCGUUGCUAGGAAGGAAAAUCCCCAGGCGAUGUCUACUUCAGAAAGAGAGCUACCGAUGGCCACUGAGGUGCUGUGCCUCUCAAGUUGUCCAUACCUCACUGGAGUCAGAGUCGCUACUCUUCGAGACAGCUUAACUACAUGAUCACGAUUUCUGAUCGACACACGCUUAGCGGCCUCGUGUACUGUCUCCACUAUGCAUGUACACAACAUUGAGAUAUAAAGCUUAUGUGCAGGAUGUACUUGAGUGAGAUGUGAUCGAUCCUGUGAAAGCCAUGGCAAUAGCUUUAUGAAGAUGAAAACGGGAUGGUUAUCUUCAGUCCUGACUCCUCCUACUCGACUCUUUGCCAGGAGAGCUUGUUUAUCCAGCUAGUAUUUGUCAAGGGCGAGCGGCACUAGCUGGACGUGUGAGAGCGACAAGCUGGUAGCAGCAUUUUGCCCUACAGAGGAUUACAAGGUUUUACUUAUCCGAUUUGCCUCUAAUCAAGGCCCCUUGUUUCAGGCACCCUAAUCCGGCAUUCUUGUUCAAUAGGGAAAUCGACUAUUUUGGCACAAUUUGCAAUCAAGAAUGAAAGUACGACGCUUAGAUGGUGGGGGAAAAAAAAGAGGGGAAACGAUGGCGAAAUGCUUGUACGGGAUAGCUUUGCAUGUAAAAAGCCACAAUCAGCGCAAGUGUCGGACGGCUCUCUAAGGGCGUCUCCUCCCACCAAUGAUUGCUAAGUCUAUGGUCCAUCCAAUUUCUCGAGUUCGAAGGGGAAAAGCUGAACGAACAAGUCAACGAGCGGGAACAUUCUACUCUACCUAACGUUACUCUACCUAACGCUUAACCUUGCAUUCAACUUAUUCUUCCUGCCACUGGUUGAUAAGUCUACUGCCUGCAAGUCAUCAGCUUCUCUGAAGCAAAAGAAAAAAGGCAAUGGCUGAGUAUAGAGCCAGCACCCAAUUAUAAGUGGACCAUCGCGAUUCAAGAACGUAUCGGCAACGACAUUGGAACAAUAAUAUCAAUGGUUGGUGGGUUGCACAGAAAUAUUCGUUGCACUGGAUGGUAAUCUACGCCAUCUGGACCCUCUUGACUUGGCCGGCGACCCUAGACGCUAAUUGCGUGAUGGAAAGAUGAGUUGGUGUUUGAAACCCUGGCAGGGGCCCCGGAUGAGGAGGAGCUAGGCUCACUGUGGUGUAUCGUCCAAGUCCUGCCAGGGUCAAGGCUGGAUUACUCUCAGAAGGACGCCCCAGCCUCUGAGUAGUGAAUAUAGUUGGCAUCGUCCUUGAUCGAGCUGACUCCCAAUCUCUCCUUCAAACACGAUGUUAGAAAAUCUCGGGCACACGAACCAGAGAAAACUCUAAAAUCGCUCUGCAUUGUUUAGGGAAUUGCUUAGGAAUGUGCGCCACAUCCUGAGAGGCUAUUAUUUUAGAGAUCAUUGAUUUUCAAAGAUCAAGUCGAUAUAUAUCUUGUCGCAACAGGUUUACAACGAACUGACUAUUUUGAGCACUUAUUCAGCAAAAAUUUUUGCAGCCAAUCUGACAUCUUUUUCCCAGCUGUUCUGAUACUUGUUCAAAGGGAACUCGCCUCACUUCGCGCCCGUUCCCAGACGCUGUUCAAAAGAGAAAUAGAUGUGAUCCUUUUUCGGCGCUCCCACCCAUCACUGUUCAGGUGAACACUGUGGUGGCUUUUCUUGAUUGGUCAAUCAGAGGCUACCCUUCUGGCAAGAUCUCGCAAUUCCAUUGGGGUGAAGGACAUCUAGUGCAAGAUCAUCACCCUAGCUUGGGACUCAAGUUUAUGAAGGCUGGCAUACUGCCGUAUUUCAUCGGAGUUAUCGGAGAAUUUCACCCAGGAAAUCAUGAGCUAAAAAUGCAACAAACUGCAUUUUGCAUAACGUCGAUGGCCAAUUGUUGUUGCAAACCUUAAUACCAGCUAUGGGAGCUGUUGAUCGGAGCAGCCUCAUUCCAGAUACAUACAUAGUAGUAUAUCAAUGUCCCUUUACUUCCAGCACCGACCUGUUCCGGUAGAUAAUAGUGAGAGACGAUUUCUUGCUAGCAAACUCCUCAUCCAUGUUUUUUCUUGCAUCGGAAGAGUUAUUUCCAUGCAAUUCAUUUGACCAGUUUGUCAAGUCGGAACUACUUCACGGCUUCUAUCGUAAUUACGCUGUCGAAUACCUUUUCUCCAGGAAUUUGUAACUCGCCAGCUUGAACGAAUGGACAGAACCACGCAUGAGAGCUGGGUAGUUGUGGCUCAUCUGGCUAUUCUGCUGCGCUGAAUUGUCGUUGAUCCAAGGUAACAUGUAUGUGGCUUGUUUCAGUAUGCCAAUGACUGGGCUUUUGAGCGGGGGUCAACAUCACCGGAAAUAUAAAAUAGCGUUGAAGAGCAUUGGCCAGCUACACCAGUGCGAAUUGUAUUGUAAGUGUCCGAAGCAAUGUGGAGGCUCAUUCUCACCCGAUGACAGAUGUAGAGGAGAAAUAGCAAAAGCCUCUCAUCGAAUUCACACCUAUCCUUUGUUGCCCUCAUGUUUUGCACUAGGCUAUGGAGCUCGCUUGCUAUGUAGGGUUGGGAUUGUCAACCUCAGUCACUCCCUGCAACCUUCCAAAAUACAGGGGA
rnacentral:sRNA from 2 species